GACGAACGCUGGCGGCGUGCUUAACACAUGCAAGUCGAACGGAAAGGCCCUGCUUUUGCGGGGUGCUCGAGUGGCGAACGGGUGAGUAACACGUGAGUAACCUGCCCUUGACUUUGGGAUAACUUCAGGAAACUGGGGCUAAUACCGGAUAGGAGCUCCUGCUGCAUGGGGGGGGUUGGAAAGAUUCGGCGGUUGGGGAUGGACUCGCGGCUUAUCAGCUUGUUGGUGGGGUAGUGGCUUACCAAGGCUUUGACGGGUAGCCGGCCUGAGAGGGUGACCGGCGUCAUUGGGACUGAGAUACGGCCCAGACGCCUACGGGAGGCAGCAGUGGGGAAUAUUGCACAAUGGGCGGAAGCCUGAUGCAGCAACGCCGCGUGCGGGAUGACGUCCUUCGGGUUGUAAACCGCUUUCGCCUGUGACGAAGCGUUAGUGACGGUAAUGGGUAAAGAAGCACCGGCUAACUACGUG
rnacentral:rRNA from 1 species